rnacentral:rRNA from 1 species
UACGUAGGGUGCGAGCGUUGUCCGGAAUUACUGGGCGUAAAGAGCUUGUAGGCGGUUCGUCGCGUCGCUCGUGAAAACUAGCAGCUCAACUGUUAGCUUGCGGGCGAUACGGGCGGACUAGAGUACUGCAGGGGAGACUGGAAUUCCUGGUGUAGCGGUGAAAUGCGCAGAUAUCAGGAGGAACACCGGUGGCGAAGGCGGGUCUCUGGGCAGUAACUGACGCUGAGAAGCGAAAGCGUGGGUAGCGAACAGG